AUGGUGCUUGCACCUGAUUGAUUUUGGUCGCCAACGAGUGGCGGACGGGUGAGUAACACGUAUGUAACCUGCCCACAAGCGGGGGACAACAUUUGGAAACAGAUGCUAAUACCGCAUAACAACGUUGUUCGCAUGAACAACGCUUAAAAGAUGGCUUCUCGCUAUCACUUCUGGAUGGACCUGCGGUGCAUUAGCUUGUUGGUGGGGUAAUGGCCUACCAAGGCGAUGAUGCAUAGCCGAGUUGAGAGACUGAUCGGCCACAAUGGGACUGAGACACGGCCCAUACUCCUACGGGAGGCAGCAGUAGGGAAUCUUCCACAAUGGGCGCAAGCCUGAUGGAGCAACACCGCGUGAGUGAAGAAGGGUUUCGGCUCGUAAAGCUCUGUUGUUAAAGAAGAACACGUAUGAGAGUAACUGUUCAUACGUUGACGGUAUUUAACCAAAAAGUCACGGCUAACUACGUGCCAGCAGCCGCGGUAAUACGUAGGUGGCAAGCGUUAUCCGGAUUUAUUGGGCGUAAAGAGAGUGCAGGCGGUUUUCUAAGUCUGAUGUGAAAGCCUUCGGCUUAACCGGAGAAGUGCAUCGGAAACUGGAUAACUUGAGUGCAGAAGAGGGUAGUGGAACUCCAUGUGUAGCGGUGGAAUGCGUAGAUAUAUGG
rnacentral:rRNA from 2 species